rnacentral:rRNA from 1 species
UACGUAGGGGGCAAGCGUUGUCCGGAAUCAUUGGGCGUAAAGCGCGUGUAGGCGGCUCGGUAAGUCUGCUCUGAAAGCCCGGGGCUCAACCCUGGGAGGCGGGUGGAUACUGCUGAGCUCGAGUCCGGAAGAGGCGAGUGGAAUUCCUGGUGUAGCGGUGAAAUUCGUAGAUAUUGGGAAGAACACCGGUGGCGAAGGCGGCGACCUGGUCUGAUACUGACGCUGAGGCGCGACAGCGUGGGGAGCAAACAGG